rnacentral:lncRNA from 1 species
AUGCGCGUUCCCGUCCCGCCCACACCCCCGACACACAGACACCCCGAGUGCGGACAGGGACCGUGCUCCAGGCUCGGGCGGAGUGCGGUCCAGCUGAACGUCCAGGACCGCCACUCCCGCAGCCCCCACACCAAAAGCCUGUGGCCCGUAGAACUAUACCUACACGUGCGUCGAAAGACAAAGACCUGGAUUGGAGAUAGGCCCGGCCCUCUGUGCUUCUUAGGUUUGAUCUUGUGUAGCACUGCCCGUUUCCACUCUUGCCCGUCCCUCCCUUUACAUCUACCGGGAUACCUGCGCUACCAGCUCCCCCGGGGCAAAAGCCGGUCUCCUCCGUCUCUCUGUGCCCGCCAUUGCCCAGCACUGUCCAACACAAGAUCAGGCACAUGUCAGUGGAAGUCAGCAUUCGUUGAGCGACCCAUGUCCUCAGGGAGCAGCAGUGUUAGUGGGAAGCGUACAUUUCAAACCCAGGUAAAUGAUUUGCUUUCUAACAUAGCCCACCAAAUGCCUGACCGAGUGUAGGAAUACGCAUCCUAGAUCACCCGUCUUGAAGUCACCCCAAGAGUACAUAAAUAUACCCAGCUCCAGACCAUCAUGCACCUGUCUCUUGAGACUCUGCACCCUACUUUGAAUGUGUGUUUUAAAAACUCUGCCUAAAAAACCUCUUUCUGCUUCUCUCACAGGCACAUCCUUUUUUUUUUUUUUAAAUAUCCAGAAUGUGUUUGUUGGGGUGGCUUCCCAUUCAUCUUGAUUCAGGGUACUGUUAGCGCUGCCUCCUCCUGAAGGAGCACCCUUCUUUGACCGUUGCUUUGCCUCUUAUCAGCUGACAGAGGACAGUGGAGCAGCCAACACACAGAACUACCGUCUGUGCACGGCUAAAGACCGUGGUGAUUUUAUGGCAUCCUGGGCACGUCACAUCCAGGAAAUAAGAAAUGAGGCUCUGUACCAGGCGCUUCUCCUUGGGCUUCCUCUUCUCUUCUGGAGAGGGAUGAAGGAAAUCUUUCGCCAGAGGCAUGUUCUCGUGGGAAGGUCGUCACCACCAGAAAGGCUCACUGGCACAUCUUGAAAAUUCUCUUUCUGUGAUGGAAGUCAGCGAAUCUGCAGUCUACCCCGCAGGUGGGGUGAGUUGAGAUCCCCAUCUCCUGCCUGGGAAACCUCCACAGACCCCAUCCAUGGCACUUAUCCCUACUUCUCAGUGUCCAGUUGAGAUGAUUCAAUGAAGCCGGGCAUGGUGGUACACGCCUGUAAUCCCAGCAGUUGGGAGGCUGAGGCAGGAGGAUCGUUGCAAGUUCGAAGCCAGCCUGGGCUACAAAGUGAGCUCAAGGCCAGCUUGAACUGCACAGCGAGACCCUGUCUCAAAAAAAGACCAAAAAAAAGAGAGAGAUGAUUCAAUGAGAACAUAAGAGUAGAACUGUAUUCUCAUGCGCCUUGUGUUUUUCUUUCCCUCUCCUCCUCUCCCUCCUUGUCCCUCCUCUUCUUGCC